AUUCCUCGCAGUCAUGAGGAGUAAGGGAAGUUGAUGGGAGAGUUUCUCCUGUGAACCUCGGGGGCAAGCAGAGAAAUUAAGCUUAAGCAUAUUCUGAAUAUGGUUGAAGCCACUUCAACUUGGUAUAGAUGCCCAAGAAAGUAUGCACCAGUGUAAGUGGAUGUAAAAUGGACCAUCAGAAUGGCAGCCUUUUAAUACCUACUUUACAAUGCCAGACAACGAAGAAGUCAGAAGUCCCCAGAACAAUUUCAAAGCCCAAUAAAGCAUAUUACCAAGUGUGAUACCCAGACUCUAUUAUUUUUAUCUAUAUGACCAAACAAUUGCUAAAUUCGCUG